UUAAAUUGAAGAGUUUGAUCAUGGCUCAGAUUGAACGCUGGCGGCAGGCCUAACACAUGCAAGUCGAACGGUAACAGGAAACAGCUUGCUGUUUCGCUGACGAGUGGCGGACGGGUGAGUAAUGUCUGGGAAACUGCCUGAUGGAGGGGGAUAACUACUGGAAACGGUAGCUAAUACCGCAUAACGUCGCAAGACCAAAGAGGGGGACCUUCGGGCCUCUUGCCAUCGGAUGUGCCCAGAUGGGAUUAGCUAGUAGGUGGGGUAACGGCUCACCUAGGCGACGAUCCCUAGCUGGUCUGAGAGGAUGACCAGCCACACUGGAA
rnacentral:rRNA from 1 species